rnacentral:rRNA from 1 species
AUUGAACGCUGGCGGCAGGCCUAACACAUGCAAGUCGGACGGUAGCACAGAGGAGCUUGCUCUUCGGGUGACGAGUGGCGGACGGGUGAGUAAUGUCUGGGGAUCUGCCCGAUAGAGGGGGAUAACCACUGGAAACGGUGGCUAAUACCGCAUAACGUCGCAAGACCAAAGAGGGGGACCUUCGGGCCUCUCACUAUCGGAUGAACCCAGAUGGGAUUAGCUAGUAGGCGGGGUAACGGCCCACCUAGGCGACGAUCCCUAGCUGGUCUGAGAGGAUGACCAGCCACACUGGAACUGAGACACGGUCCAGACGCCUACGGGAGGCAGCAGUGGGGAAGAUUGCACAAUGGGCGCAAGCCUGAUGCAGCCAUGCCGCGUGUAUGAAGAAGGCCUUCGGGUUGUAAAGUACUUUCAGCGGGGAGGAAGGCGAUGUGGUUAAUAACCGCGUCGAUUGACGUUACCCGCAGAAGAAGCACCGGCUAACUCCGUGCCAGCCGCCGGCGUAA